GAAUUCGCCCUUAGAGUUUGAUCCUGGCUCAGGACGAACGCUGGCGGCGCGCCUAACACAUGCAAGUCGAACGAGCGAGAGAGAGCUUGCUUUCUCGAGCGAGUGGCGAACGGGUGAGUAACGCGUGAGGAACCUGCCUCAAAGAGGGGGACAACAGUUGGAAACGACUGCUAAUACCGCAUAAGCCCACGGCUCGGCAUCGAGCAGAGGGAAAAGGAGCAAUCCGCUUUGAGAUGGCCUCGCGUCCGAUUAGCUAGUUGGUGAGGUAAUGGCCCACCAAGGCGACGAUCGGUAGCCGGACUGAGAGGUUGAACGGCCACAUUGGGACUGAGACACGGCCCAGACUCCUACGGGAGGCAGCAGUGGGGAAUAUUGCACAAUGGGGGAAACCCUGAUGCAGCGACGCCGCGUGGAGGAAGAAGGUCUUCGGAUUGUAAACUCCUGUUGUUGAGGAAGAUAAUGACGGUACUCAACAAGGAAGUGACGGCUAACUACGUGCCAGCAGCCGCGGUAAAACGUAGGUCACAAGCGUUGUCCGGAAUUACUGGGUGUAAAGGGAGCGCAGGCGGGAAGACAAGUUGGAAGUGAAAUCCAUGGGCUCAACCCAUGAACUACUUUCAAAACUGUUUUUCUUGAGUAGUGCAGAGGUAGGCGGGAAUUCCCGGUGUAGCGGGGGAAUGCGUAGAUAUCGGGAGGAACACCAGUGGCGAAGGCGGCCUACUGGGCACCAACUGACGCUGAGGCUCGAAAGUGUGGGUAGCAAACAGGAUUAGAUACCCUGGUAGUCCACACUGUAAACGAUGAUUACUAGGUGUUGGAGGAUUGACCCCUUCAGUGCCGCAGUUAACACAAUAAGUAAUCCACCUGGGGAGUACGACCGCAAGGUUGAAACUCAAAGGAAUUGACGGGGGCCCGCACAAGCAGUGGAGUAUGUGGUUUAAUUCGACGCAACGCGAAGAACCUUACCAAGUCUUGACAUCCUGCGACGGUUCUGGAAACAGAACUUUCCUUCGGGACGCAGAGACAGGUGGUGCAUGGUUGUCGUCAGCUCGUGUCGUGAGAUGUUGGGUUAAGUCCCGCAACGAGCGCAACCCUUAUGGUCAGUUACUACGCAAGAGGACUCUGGCCAGACUGCCGUUGACAAAACGGAGGAAGGUGGGGAUGACGUCAAAUCAUCAUGCCCUUUAUGACUUGGGCUACACACGUACUACAAUGGCGUUAAACAAAGAGAAGCAAGACCGCGAGGUGGAGCAAAACUCAGAAACAACGUCCCAGUUCGGACUGCAGGCUGCAACUCGCCUGCACGAAGUCGGAAUUGCUAGUAAUCGCAGAUCAGCAUGCUGCGGUGAAUACGUUCCCGGGCCUUGCACACACCGCCCGUCA
rnacentral:rRNA from 1 species